UGCAAGUCGAGCGAACAGAUAAGGAGCUUGCUCCUUUGACGUUAGCGGCGGACGGGUGAGUAACACGUGGGUAACCUACCUAUAAGACUGGGAUAACUUCGGGAAACCGGAGCUAAUACCGGAUAACAUUUGGAACCGCAUGGUUCUAAAGUGAAAGAUGGUUUUGCUAUCACUUAUAGAUGGACCCGCGCCGUAUUAGCUAGUUGGUAAGGUAACGGCUUACCAAGGCGACGAUACGUAGCCGACCUGAGAGGGUGAUCGGCCACACUGGAACUGAGACACGGUCCAGACUCCUACGGGAGGCAGCAGUAGGGAAUCUUCCGCAAUGGGCGAAAGCCUGACGGAGCAACGCCGCGUGAGUGAUGAAGGGUUUCGGCUCGUAAAACUCUGUUAUUAGGGAAGAACAAACGUGUAAGUAACUGUGCACGUCUUGACGGUACCUAAUCAGAAAGCCACGGCUAACUACGUGCCAGCAGCCGCGGUAAUACGUAGGUGGCAAGCGUUAUCCGGAAUUAUUGGGCGUAAAGCGCGCGUAGGCGGUUUCUUAAGUCUGAUGUGAAAGCCCACGGCUCAACCGUGGAGGGUCAUUGGAAACUGGGAAACUUGAGUGCAGAAGAGGAAAGUGGAAUUCCAUGUGUAGCGGUGAAAUGCGCAGAGAUAUGGAGGAACACCAGUGGCGAAGGCGACUUUCUGGUCUGUAACUGACGCUGAUGUGCGAAAGCGUGGGGAUCAAACAGGAUUAGAUACCCUGGUAGUCCACGCCGUAAACGAUGAGUGCUAAGUGUUAGGGGGUUUCCGCCCCUUAGUGCUGCAGCUAACGCAUUAAGCACUCCGCCUGGGGAGUACGACCGCAAGGUUGAAACUCAAAGGAAUUGACGGGGACCCGCACAAGCGGUGGAGCAUGUGGUUUAAUUCGAAGCAACGCGAAGAACCUUACCAAAUCUUGACAUCCUUUGAAAACUCUAGAGAUAGAGCCUUCCCCUUCGGGGGACAAAGUGACAGGUGGUGCAUGGUUGUCGUCAGCUCGUGUCGUGAGAUGUUGGGUUAAGUCCCGCAACGAGCGCAACCCUUAAGCUUAGUUGCCAUCAUUAAGUUGGGCACUCUAGGUUGACUGCCGGUGACAAACCGGAGGAAGGUGGGGAUGACGUCAAAUCAUCAUGCCCCUUAUGAUUUGGGCUACACACGUGCUACAAUGGACAAUACAAAGGGCAGCUAAACCGCGAGGUCAUGCAAAUCCCAUAAAGUUGUUCUCAGUUCGGAUUGUAGUCUGCAACUCGACUACAUGAAGCUGGAAUCGCUAGUAAUCGUAGAUCAGCAUGCUACGGUGAAUACGUUCCCGGGUCUUGUACACACCGCCCGUCACACCACGAGAGUUUGUAACACCCGAAGCCGGUGGAGUAACCAUU
rnacentral:rRNA from 1 species